AACGCGAAGAACCUUACCUGGUCUUGACAUGGGGAGUUUGGAUACCAGAAAAGGUAUCCUUCAGUUUGGCUGGCUCCCACACAGGUGCUGCAUGGCUGUCGUCAGCUCGUGUCGUGAGAUGUUGGGUUAAGUCCCGCAACGAGCGCAACCCUCACUCUUAAUUGCCAUCGUUCAGUUGGGCACUUUAAGGGAACUGCCGGUGAUAAGCCGGAGGAAGGUGGGGAUGACGUCAAGUCUUCAUGGCCCUUACGGCCUGGGCUACACACGUGCUACAAUGGCGGUGACAGAGAGUCGCGACCCUGCGAGGGGUAGCUAAUCUCCAAAAGCCGUCUCAGUUCGGAUUGCACUCUGCAACUCGAGUGCAUGAAGCUGGAAUCGCUAGUAAUCGCGCAUCAGCUCGGCGCGGUGAAUACGUUCCCGGGUCUUGUACACACCGAAUCACUAGUGAAUU
rnacentral:rRNA from 1 species